rnacentral:rRNA from 1 species
AGAUUGAACGCUGGCGGCAUGCCUUACACAUGCAAGUCGAACGGCAGCGCGGGGGCAACCCUGGCGGCGAGUGGCGAACGGGUGAGUAAUAUAUCGGAACGUGCCCUAGAGUGGGGGAUAACGUAGCGAAAGUUACGCUAAUACCGCAUACGAUCUACGGAUGAAAGUGGGGGAUCGCAAGACCUCACGCUCAUGGAGCGGCCGAUAUCUGAUUAGCUAGUUGGUAGGGUAAAAGCCUACCAAGGCGACGAUCAGUAGCUGGUCUGAGAGGAUGAUCAGCCACACUGGGACUGAGACACGGCCCAGACUCCUACGGGAGGCAGCAUUAGGGAAUCUUGGACAAUGGGCGAAAGCCUGAUCCAGCCAUGCCGCGUGAGUGAAGAAGGCCUUAGGGUUGUAAAGCUCUUUUGGCGGGGACGAUAAUGACGGUACCCGCAGAAUAAGCCCGGCUAACUUCGUGCCAGCAGCCGCGGUAA